CGGCGGAACACGUGAAAUUCCGUCGGAAUCCGGGAGGACCAUCUCCCAAGGCUAAAUACUCCCUAGUGACCGAUAGUGAACCAGUACCGUGAGGGAAAGGUGAAAAGCACCCCGGAAGGGGAGUGAAACAGUUCCUGAAACCGUGUGCCUACAAGUAGUUAGAGCCCGUUAAUGGGUGAUAGCGUGCCUUUUGUAGAAUGAACCGGCGAGUUACGAUUUGUUGCAAGGUUAAGCGGAAAAAGCGGAGCCGUAGCGAAAGCGAGUCUGAAUAGGGCGCAUAAGUAACAGGUCGUAGACCCGAAACCAGGUGAUCUACCCAUGUCCAGGAUGAAGGUAAGGUAAUACUUACUGGAGGUCCGAACCCACGCACGUUGAAAAGUGCGGGGAUGAGGUGUGGGUAGCGGAGAAAUUCCAAUCGAACUUGGAGAUAGCUGGUUCUCUCCGAAAUAGCUUUAGGGCUAGCCUCGAGGUAAAGAGUCAUGGAGGUAGAGCACUGUUUGGACUAGGGGCCCUUCUCGGGUUACCGAAUUCAGAUAAACUCCGAAUGCCAUGUACUUAUACUCGGGAGUCAGACUGCGAGUGAUAAGAUCCGUAGUCGAAAGGGAAACAGCCCAGACCACCAGUUAAGGUCCCCAAAUAUAUGUUAAGUGGAAAAGGAUGUGGGGUUGCUUAGACAACCAGGAUGUUGGCUUAGAAGCAGCCACCAUUGAAAGAGUGCGUAAUAGCUCACUGGUCGAGUGACCCCGCGCCGAAAAUGUACCGGGGCUAAACAUAUUACCGAAACUGUGGAUGAACCUCUUUAGAGGUUCGUGGUAGGAGAGCGUUCUAAGGGCGGUGAAGUCAGACCGGAAGGACUGGUGGAGCGCUUAGAAGUGAGAAUGCCGGUAUGAGUAGCGAAAGAAGGGUGAGAAUCCCUUCCACCGAAUAUCUAAGGUUUCCUGAGGAAGGCUCGUCCGCUCAGGGUUAGUCGGGACCUAAGCCGAGGCCGAUAGGCGUAGGCGAUGGACAACAGGUAGAGAUUCCUGUACCAGUGCUAAUUGUUUAACCGAUGGGGUGACACAGAAGGAUAGGGAAUCGCACGAAUGGAAAUGUGCGUCCAAGCAGUGAGUGUGAGAAGUAGGCAAAUCCGCUUCUCGCGAAGCAUGAGCUGUGAUGGGGAAGGAAAUUAAGUACGGAAGUUCCUGAUUUCACGCUGUCAAGAAAAGCCUCUAGGAAGAGUAGUACUGCCCGUACCGCAAACCGACACAGGUAGAUGAGGAGAGAAUCCUAAGGUGAGCGAGAGAACUCUCGUUAAGGAACUCGGCAAAAUGACCCCGUAACUUCGGGAGAAGGGGUGCUCUAUUAGGGUGCAAGCCCGAGAGAGCCGCAGUGAAUAGGCCCAGGCGACUGUUUAGCAAAAACACAGGUCUCUGCAAAACCGUAAGGUGACGUAUAGGGGCUGACGCCUGCCCGGUGCUGGAAGGUUAAGAGGAGUGCUUAGCUUCGGCGAAGGUACGAAUUGAAGCCCCAGUAAACGGCGGCCGUAACUAUAACGGUCCUAAGGUAGCGAAAUUCCUUGUCGGGUAAGUUCCGACCCGCACGAAAGGCGCAACGAUCUGGGCACUGUCUCAACGAGAGACUCGGUGAAAUUAUAGUACCUGUGAAGAUGCAGGUUACCCGCGACAGGACGGAA
rnacentral:rRNA from 1 species